GAGAGUUCGAGGGAGCUUUUGCCGCCAAAUAGACGCUCGAGCUGUUUGCAACAACUGUUUAGUAUUCACUCCUGUAGAUGUUGUGGAACACAUUGGGUGAAACUUUGUCUCUGAAAAUAGAUAGCCGACUACUAGGCUAUACCGAAAACGUUUUCAAACCAAGAAGACGCCAGCUUAUGGAGAACAACUACAGCGGUCAAGUAGGCUAUAUCCAGGAGUUUUAAUUGUCAACCAUGAAUCAAACAGCAGGAGUAACACAGACAUACCGGAGGUGUUCAAAAGCAGGGCAUGGUUGUGACUGUCGUCGAGACCUCCUGCAACAUUCACAGCUACAAUCUUGUAUUCCCCACAUCGCCCUACAUCCCUGGGAUUUUGGACUCGUUCAACCCAAGUUUUGGCACAAUGCUUUUUGAAUUGAAUUGAAGUCAGUACAACUGUUGUUGUUUUUUUGGUAAUUCUGCCUGAGGUUUUGUCAUCCUUUAAUUACAAUAGUGUAUGCACACAUUCCUGAUAAGACAGAUGGAUUUGUGCGCUGGAGAGAUAAUUGUCACCGGCAGAAGUCUGCUCAUCAUUUGAUAGAACAACAUUGCAAUUGCCCGUAACCCUCCUUCUGUAGUAACACAGCCUGAAAAGCCAACACAAGUUCUAUCAACUGACAAAGCAAAAACAGGAUUUUAGAUUUUUUUGCAAAUGUAAUAAAAUUAGAAAACUGAAAUAUCACAUUUGGAUAAGUAUUCAGACUCUUUACUCAGUACUUUAUUGAAGCUCCUUUGACAGCGAUUACAGCCUUGGGUCUUCUUGGGUAUGACGCUACAAGCUUGGCACACCUGUAUUUGGGGAGUUUCUCCCAUUUCUUCUCUGCAGAUCCUAUGGUUGGUUGUUGUAGUUGGCUAUGAUUGGCUCCGGCUGGUUCACAAUCGACCAGUGGAAAACCAUGAUUGAAAGGCAGACACUGUCAGGCUUUGCGGUACGCAAAAGUCUAAACGGUAUCCUUGGGACUUCCCAACUCUGACUUCGCCCUAUUGAAGUUGAAAUGUACAACGGUUAAGGUAAGGGUUAGGUAAGGGGUAUGGUUAGGGUUUAUGGUAUGGACAACCCAAGGAUUCUGGAUAGCACUAACCUUUUUUGGCAUGAAGGUCAUGACCCAUAAUGAUGAGACAUGAGUCAUAAUGUGUAACUCUACCUUCAAUUGUUUUUGCAAGAAAGUAAUUUGUCGGCUUUUCCAAUAAAUAAUCAUCUUUCUGGUGAAGUGAUAUGUGCUCCAUUUAACUGCAGCUGGAUGUUGUAUUUUGUCACCAAAUGUUGGCUAUCACUAGCAUCACUAGCAUAUGUGUAAAUGUAAUAGUCAUGUGCUGCUGUGCAAAACAUAGCCUUCACAGAUGUACAUGUACAGUACCUUCAGAAAGUAUUCACACCCCUUGACUUUUUCCACAUUUUGUUGAGUCACAUCCUGAAUUUGCCAUU
rnacentral:lncRNA from 1 species